GUGGAGAAACUAAGCCACAGAAAGGAGCUGUCAUUUACCUAAAGCACCGUGGCAGGGGUUUGGCAGAGCCAGGAUUUGUACCCAGAUCGCCUGACUUCGGAGAGUAACAGCUCUUAACCACAGCACUUCGGUCUAUGCCUUGAUUUCACCAUAUGUAACAAGCCUACUCAUCAUGAAGACAAGGAGCUGUGCCACUUUGCAUUCCCACCAGCAGCACGCAAGCGUUCGAAUUUCUCCGCACGCUCCCCAACGUGGUCUUCACCAUCCACGGAGAAGGGAAAGCAACAGAAGCUGAGAGCC
rnacentral:lncRNA from 10 species